AGGGCUUCUUCAUUUUAAUUUUUUUAAUUUUUUUUUUCCCGAGGCUACUUAAGUGCUGGCUGAUGACAGACAGAUCUAGAAAGAUGAUUGCACAGAGCCAAUUCUGUUUCACAUGAUAGAACAUUGCUCAAGCUGUAACAACAGAAAGAAGGAAAAAACACAAACUCCAACAUAUCUAAAUGGAAAUGAGAAUAUUUCUGCCUGUGGAGAGGACAGUUUGAACAUUGUGGCUUUUAAAUUAUUGAGAGAGCCCUGGGAGUUACCAAAUACAGACUCAAUCAUGUGAACAGUAAACAAA
rnacentral:lncRNA from 1 species